UUGGUCAACUUCACUGCCCUCUACCCUUACUCUGCUGAAUUGCUCAUCCAUGACGUCACGGAUGUAGUCACGUGACAUUUAAGGGAAUGACCACGCUUAUCCACGGCUAAGUCCGUGGGAAUGUGAGAACACUAUAUGGGGAAUGCACUCCUAAACCAUAGACUUAGAGCAUAUACUAUAUAUCUGAAAGCAGCAUCUAUUACUGCUGAGCAUGAAACCACUUCGUAGAAAAAGACAGAUUCAAAUUCAGGUUUUGCACGAUUUUGCUACCUCCCUUAGCUUUUGCAAGCAUCCUCGCCAGUUUACUGUGCAUCCAAUCGGUCAGCUAAUCAGAGCAAAGCAAUUUCCAAUCGUAUCCUCGCUAUCGGAGCGCGUUGCGAUCGGAGAGUCUUGCAAAACUUGAAGUACAUAUUAUGUACUGUAUUCUCCAAUCUUCGAUGCACAUAUUGGCGCUCGUUGCUGCUCGUCGCCCACUAAACUAAUAGUAAGCAUCGCUAAAUAAUAUUUUGGUAAAAUUUCAAUGUCUGAUUCUGAUAGAAUGAUUAUUUAUUUUCGAAGUAAAUUCAGCAGGAAAAUAAAGAUUUCUGAUAAGGGAAGUUAGUUCGUGAUUUCUGACAGCGAUGAGAAUAUCAUUGAAAAUGUCGAAAAAACAAGUUUUCGUAAUCAAAAGCAGCGGUAGCUGAGAGAACUGUUUCAGGAGUUUAACUCCAGAGAAACAAAUUGCAGCAUUCAGAAAAUCUCUGUUGAUGGAAAAUGCCAUUGAGCAGAGUGUUAAAAAGCAUAUUUCUGAAUAUCCUGACAAUGUGGAGGAUAGUUGUGUACUUACAUAGCCUUAUUAAUUCAACUAGUUACAGUGAAAAAGAUAGCAGGUGUUGCAUACUUUAAAAUAUCAAAAAGAUACAGUAUGAAAACUAUUGUAA